rnacentral:rRNA from 1 species
CCUACGGGUGGCAGCAGUGGGGAAUAUUGGGCAAUGGAGGAAACUCUGACCCAGCAACGCCGCGUGAAUGAUGAAGGUCUUCGGAUUGUAAAGUUCUUUUCUAAGGGAAGAAGAAAGUGACGGUACCUUAGGAAUAAGCCUCGGCUAACUACGUGCCAGCAGUCGCGGUAAUCCGUAGGAGGCGAGCGUUAUCCGGAAUGACUGGGCGUAAAGGGUGCGUAGGUGGUUGGGGAAGUUAGUAGCGUAACUCCCGGGGUCAACCUUGGAACUACUACUAAAACUGUUGGACUUGAGUGCAGGAGAGGCAACCGGAAUUCCUAGUGUAGCGGUGGAAUGCGUAGAUAUUAGGAAGAACACCAGUGGCGAAGGCAGGUUGCUAGACUGUAACUGACGCUGAUGCACGAAAGCGUGGGGAGCGAACAGGAUUAGAUACCCGAGUAGUC